UUCCGGUUGAUCCUGCCGGACCUGACUGCUAUCGGAUUGAUACUAAGCCAUGCGAGUCAUUGUAGCAAUACAAGGCAGACGGCUCAGUAACGCGUAGUCAACCUACCCUAUGGACGGGGAUAACCUCGGGAAACUGAGAAUAAUGCCCGAUAGAACAUUAUGCCUGGAAUGGUUUAUGUUCCAAAUGAUUUAUCGCCGUAGGAUGGGACUGCGGCCUAUCAGUUUGUUGGUGAGGUAAUGGCCCACCAAGACUAUUACAGGUACGGGCUCUGAGAGGAGUGGCCCGGAGAUGGGUACUGAGACACGGACCCAGGCCCUAUGGGGCGCAGCAGGCGAGAAAACUUUGCAAUGUGCGAAAGCACGACAAGGUUAAUCCGAGUGGUUUCUGCUAAAGGAACCUUUUGACAGUCCUAAAAACACUGUUGAAUAAGGGGUGGGCAAGUUCUGGUGUCAGCCGCCGCGGUAAAACCAGCACCUCAAGUGGUCAGGAUGAUUAUUGGGCCUAAAGCAUCCGUAGCCGGCUCUGUAAGUUUUCGGUUAAAUCUGUACGCUUAACGUACAGGCUGCUGGAAAUACUGCAGGGCUAGGGAGUGGGAGAGGUAGACGGUACUCGGGAGGAAGUGGUAAAAUGCUUUGAUCUCUCGAUGACCACCUGUGGCGAAGGCGGUCUACCAGAACACGUCCGACGGUGAGGGAUGAAAGCUGGGGGAGCAAACCGGAUUAGAUACCCGGGUAGUCCCAGCUGUAAACUAUGCAAACUCAGUGAUGCACUGGCUUGUGGCCAGUGCAGUGUUGCAGGGAAGCCGUUAAGUUUGCCGCCUGGGAAGUACGUACGCAAGUAUGAAACUUAAAGGAAUUGGCGGGGGAGCACCACAAGGGGUGAAGCCUGCGGUUCAAUUGGAGUCAACGCCGGA
rnacentral:rRNA from 1 species